GAUGAACGCUAGCUACAGGCUUAACACAUGCAAGUCGAGGGGAAACGGCAUUGAGUGCUUGCACUCUUUGGACGUCGACCGGCGCACGGGUGAGUAACGCGUAUCCAACCUUCCCAUUACUGUGGGAUAACCUGCCGAAAGGCAGACUAAUACCGCAUAGUCUUCGAUGACGGCAUCAGAUUUGAAGUAAAGAUUUAUCGGUAAUGGAUGGGGAUGCGUCUGAUUAGCUUGUUGGCGGGGUAACGGCCCACCAAGGCUACGAUCAGUAGGGGUUCUGAGAGGAAGGUCCCCCACAUUGGAACUGAGACACGGUCCAAACUCCUACGGGAGGCAGCAGUGAGGAAUAUUGGUCGAUGGGCGAGAGCCUGAACCAGCCAAGUAGCGUGCAGGAAGACGGCCCUAUGGGUUGUAAACUGCUUUUGUAUGGGGAUAAAGUCAAUCACGUGUGAUUGUUUGCAGGUACCAUACGAAUAAGGACCGGCUAAUUCCGUGCCAGCAGCCGCGGUAAUACGGAAGGUCCGGGCGUUAUCCGGAUUUAUUGGGUUUAAAGGGAGCGUAGGCUGGAGAUUAAGUGUGUUGUGAAAUGUAGACGCUCAACGUCUGACUUGCAGCGCAUACUGGUUUCCUUGAGUACGCACAACGUUGGCGGAAUUCGUCGUGUAGCGGUGAAAUGCUUAGAUAUGACGAAGAACUCCGAUUGCGAAGGCAGCUGACGGGAGCGCAACUGACGCUGAAGCUCGAAGGUGCGGGUAUCGAACAGG
rnacentral:rRNA from 1 species